rnacentral:rRNA from 1 species
ACAACAGUUGGAAACGACUGCUAAUACCGCAUAAGCCCACGGGUCGGCAUCGACCAGAGGGAAAAGGAGCAAUCCGCUUUGAGAUGGCCUCGCGUCCGAUUAGCUAGUUGGUGAGGUAAUGGCCCACCAAGGCAACGAUCGGUAGCCGGACUGAGAGGUUGAACGGCCACAUUGGGACUGAGACACGGCCCAGACUCCUACGGGAGGCAGCAGUGGGGAAUAUUGCACAAUGGGGGAAACCCUGAUGCAGCGACGCCGCGUGGAGGAAGAAGGUCUUCGGAUUGUAAACUCCUGUUGUUGAGGAAGAUAAUGACGGUACUCAACAAGGAAGUGACGGCUAACUACGUGCCAGCAGCCGCGGUAAAACGUAGGUCACAAGCGUUGUCCGGAAUUACUGGGUGUAAAGGGAGCGCAGGCGGGAAGACAAGUUGGAAGUGAAAUCCAUGGGCUCAACCCAUGAACUGCUUUCAAAACUGUUUUUCUUGAGUAGUGCAGAGGUAGGCGGAAUUCCCGGUGUAGCGGUGGAAUGCGUAGAUAUCGGGAGGAACACCAGUGGCGAAGGCGGCCUACUGGGCACCAACUGACGCUGAGGCUCGAAAGUGUGGGUAGCAAACAGGAUUAGAUACCCUGGUAGUCCACACCGUAAACGAUGAUUACUAGGUGUUGGAGGAUUGACCCCUUCAGUGCCG